UGCCUAAUACAUGCAAGUCGAACGGUAACGCGGGGGCAACCCUGGCGACGAGUGGCGAACGGGUGAGUAAUACAUCGGAACGUGUCCUGUUGUGGGGGAUAACCCAUCGAAAGGUGAGCUAAUACCGCAUGAUCUGGAGACAGCAAAGCAGGGGACCGGUAACGGCCUUGCGCGAUUGGAGCGGCCGAUGUCCGAUUAGCUAGUUGGUGGGGUAAAGGCCCACCAAGGCAACGAUCGGUAGCUGGUCUGAGAGGAUGAUCAGCCACACUGGGACUGAGACACGGCCCAGACUCCUACGGGAGGCAGCAGUGGGGAAUUUUGGACAAUGGGGGCAACCCUGAUCCAGCCAUGCCGCGUGAGUGAAGAAGGCCUUCGGGUUGUAAAGCUCUUUCGGUGGGAACGAAACGGUGGGGGUCAAUACCCUCCACUACUGACGGUACUCACAAAAGAAGCACCGGCUAACUACGUGCCAGCAGCCGCGGUAAUACGUAGGGUGCGAGCGUUAAUCGGAAUUACUGGGCGUAAAGCGUGCGCAGGCGGUUACUUAAGUCAGGUGUGAAAGCCCUGGGCUUAACCUAGGAAUUGCGCUUGAGACUGGGUAGCUUCGAGUGUGGCAGAGGGAGGUGGAAUUCCACGUGUAGCAGUGAAAUGCGUAGAGAUGUGGAGGAACACCGAUGGCGAAGGCAGCCUCCUGGGCCAGCACUGACGCUCAUGCACGAAAGCGUGGGGAGCAAACAGGAUUAGAUACCCUGGUAGUCCACGCCCUAAACGAUGUCAACUGGUUGUUGGUGGGGUUAAACCCAUUAGUAACGAAGCUAACGCGUGAAGUUGACCGCCUGGGGAGUACGGCCGCAAGGUUAAAACUCAAAGGAAUUGACGGGGACCCGCACAAGCGGUGGAUGAUGUGGAUUAAUUCGAUGCAACGCGAAGAACCUUACCUACCCUUGACAUGUACGGAAGCCCGAUGAGAGUCGGGCGUGCCCGAAAGGGAGCCGUAACACAGGUGCUGCAUGGCUGUCGUCAGCUCGUGUCGUGAGAUGUUGGGUUAAGUCCCGCAACGAGCGCAACCCUUGUCACUAGUUGCUACGAAAGGGCACUCUAGUGAGACUGCCGGUGACAAACCGGAGGAAGGUGGGGAUGACGUCAAGUCCUCAUGGCCCUUAUGGGUAGGGCUUCACACGUCAUACAAUGGCUGGGACAAUGUGAUGCAAUCCCGCGAGGGUGAGCGAACCGCCAAACCCAGUCUCAGUUCGGAUCGCAGGCUGCAACUCGCCUGCGUGAAGUCGGAAUCGCUAGUAAACGCCGAUCAGCACGCGGCGUUGAAUACGUUCCCGGGCCUUGCACACACUGCCCGUCAC
rnacentral:rRNA from 1 species